rnacentral:rRNA from 1 species
AACGAACGCUGGCGGCAUGCCUAACACAUGCAAGUCGAACGAGACCUUCGGGUCUAGUGGCGCACGGGUGCGUAACGCGUGGGAACCUGCCCUUAGGUUCGGAAUAACUCCCCGAAAGGGGUGCUAAUACCGGAUAAUGUCUUCGGACCAAAGAUUUAUCGCCUUGGGAUGGGCCCGCGUUGGAUGAGCUAGUUGGUAGGGUAAAAGCCUACCAAGGCGACGAUCCAUAGCUGGUCUGAGAGGACGAUCAGCAACACUGGGACUGAGACACGGCCCAGACUCCUACGGGAGGCAGCAGUGGGGAACCUUCGACACUGCGCGCAAGACUGAUCCAGCAAUGCCGUGUGAGUGAUGAAGGCCUUAGGGUAGUACAGCUCUUUUAACCGGGAUGAUAAUGACAGUCCCGGGAGAAUAAGACCCGGCUAACUCCGU